UACGUAGGGGGCGAGCGUUGUCCGAAGUUACUGGGCGUAAAGCGCGCGUAGGCGGGGGGUUAAGUGAGAGGUGAAAGGCUGGGGCUCAACCUCAUGCAGUGCCUCUCAUACUGGCCUUCUUGAGGGCGGUAGGGAGAAGUGGAAUGGCUGGUGUAGCGGUGAAAUGCGUAGAUAUCAGUCGGAACACCGGUGGCGAAGGCGGCUUCUUGGGCCGUUCCUGACGCUGAUGCGCGAAAGCUGGGGGAGCGAACGGG
rnacentral:rRNA from 1 species